rnacentral:rRNA from 1 species
UCAAGUUAUUAAGGGUGCAGGGCGGAUGCCUUGGCACUAGGAGCCGAUGAAGGACGUGAUAAGCUGCGAUAAGCUUCGGGGAGUUGCACGUAAACUUUGAUCCGAAGAUUUCCGAAUGAGGAAACUCACUUAGAGUAAUGUCUAAGUAUCAUUAAGUGAAUACAUAGCUUAAUGAGGGGAACUCAGGGAACUGAAACAUCUAAGUACCUGAAGGAAGAGAAAGAAAUUCGAUUCCGUAAGUAGCGGCGAGCGAACGCGGAUUAGCCCAAACCAAUAAAGUUUUCUUUAUUGGGGUUGCGGACAUAUCAUAACGAAGAGGUAUCGUAAUUGAAGAGGUUUGGAAAGACCCACCACAGAAGGUAAUAGUCCUGUAUGUUAAACGAGAAGACUUCAGAUAUGAUCCAGAGUACCACGGGACACGUGAAACCCUGUGGGAAGCAGGAGGGACCACCCUCCAAGGCUAAAUACUACCUAGUGACCGAUAGCGUAUAGUACCGUGAGGGAAAGGUGAAAAGAACCCCGGGAGGGGAGUGAAAUAGAACCUGAAACCCUGCACUUACAAGCUGUGGAAGCACAUUUCUUGUGUGACCGCGUACUUUUUGUAGAACGGGCCAACGAGUUACGUUAAGUAGCAAGGUUAAGCACUUAAGGUGCGGAGCCGUAGCGAAAGCGAGUUUUAACUGAGCGUUCAGUUACUUGACGUAGACCCGAAACCGGGCGACCUACCCAUGAGCAGGAUGAAGCGAAAGUAAAAUUUCGUGGAGGUCCGAACCCACGAGCGUUGAAAAGCUCGGGGAUGACUUGUGGGUAGCGGUGAAAUUCCAAUCGAGCCCGGAGAUAGCUGGUUCUCCCCGAAAUAGCUUUAGGGCUAGCCUCAAGGUGAGAGAUACGGAGGUAGAGCACUGAAUGUCCUAGGGGGUAUUGCACCUACCGAAGACUAUCAAACUCCGAAUGCCGUCAUCUUAUACUUGGGAGUCAGACUGUGGGUGAUAAGAUUCAUAGUCGAAAGGGCAACAGCCCAGAUCGUCAGCUAAGGUCCCUAAAUGUAAGUUAAGUGGUAAAGGAUGUGGGAUUGCACAGACAACCAGGAUGUUGGCUUAGAAGCAGCCACUCAUUCAAAGAGUGCGUAAUAGCUCACUGGUCGAGUGAUCCUGCGCCGAAGAUUUCCGGGGCUAAAACUUACUACCGAAGCUACGGCAUCAGUAAUGAUGGGUAGGGGAGCUUCCCAUACGGGUUGAAGCAUGACCGUAAGGACAUGUGGACAGUAUGGGAGUGAGAAUGUUGGCAUGAGUAGCGAGAUGUGGGUGAGAAUCCCACAGGCCGUAAACCCAAGGUUUCCAGGGGAAGGUUCGUCCGCCCUGGGUUAGUCGGGACCUAAGCUGAGGCCGAAAGGCGUAGGUGAUGGACAACAGGUUGAUAUUCCUGUACUACCGAUAACCGUUUGAGAGAAGGGAUGACACAGUAGGAUAAGCUAAGCACACUGUUGGUUAUGUGUGCCCAAGCAUUGAGGCAGUCAAAGUAGGCAAAUCCGCUUUGAUAAUGCUGGGAUGUGAUGGGGAGCGAAAUUUAGUAGCGAAGUAGCUGAUUUCACACUGUCAAGAAAAGUCUCUAUCGAGGUUAAAGGUACCCGUACCGCAAACCGACACAGGUGGGUGAGGAGAGUAUCCUAAGGCCAGCGAGAGAACUGUUGUUAAGGAACUCGGCAAAAUGACCCCGUAACUUAGGGAUAAGGGGUGCCACCAUCAGGUGGCCGCAGAGAAUAGGCCCAAGCGACUGUUUACCAAAAACAUAGGUUUCUGCUAAGUCGCAAGACGAUGUAUAGGAGCUGACGCCUGCCCGGUGCUGGAAGGUUAAGGGGAUCUGUUAGAGCAAUCGAAGCAGUGAACUUAAGCCCCAGUAAACGGCGGCCGUAACUAUAACGGUCCUAAGGUAGCGAAAUUCCUUGUCGGGUAAGUUCCGACCCGCACGAAAGGCGUAACGAUUUGGGCACUGUCUCAACAACAGACUCGGUGAAAUUGUAAUUCCGGUGAAGAUGCCGGAUACCUGCGACAGGACGGAAAGACCCCAUGGAGCUUUACUGUAGCUUGACAUUGGGUCUUGGUACUACAUGUACAGGAUAGGUGGGAGGCUUUGAAACCAGGACGCCAGUUUUGGCGGAGCCAUCCUUGGGAUACCACCCUUGUAGUACUGGGACUCUAACCAUAGACCAUGAAUCUGGUCUUGGGACACUGUCAGGUGGGCAGUUUGACUGGGGCGGUCGCCUCCCAAAAGGUAACGGAGGCGCUCAAAGGUUCUCUCAGUACGGUCGGAAAUCGUACGUAGAGUGUAAAGGCAAAAGAGAGCUUGAUUGCAAGACAUACAGGUCGAGCAAGGAUGAAAAUCGGACUUAGUGAUCCGGUGGUUCUGCGUGGAAGGGCCAUCGCUCAACGGAUAAAAGCUACCCUGGGGAUAACAGGCUUAUCUCCCCCAAGAGUCCACAUCGACGGGGAGGUUUGGCACCUCGAUGUCGGCUCAUCACAUCCUGGGGCUGUAGUAGGUCCCAAGGGUUGGGCUGUUCGCCCAUUAAAGUGGUACGCGAGCUGGGUUCAGAACGUCGUGAGACAGUUCGGUCCCUAUCCGUCGCAGGCGUAGGAAAUUUGAGAAGACCUGUCCUUAGUACGAGAGGACCGGGAUGGACGUACCUCUGGUGUACCAGUUGUCCUGCCAAGGGCAUGGCUGGGUAGCUAUGUACGGAAUGGAUAAGCGCUGAAAGCAUCUAAGCGCGAAGCCAACUUCAAGAUAAGAUUUCCCACCGCAAGGGUAAGACCCCAGAAAGACUAUCUGGUUGAUAGGUCGAAGGUGUAAGUGCAGCAAUGUAUUUAGCUUAUCGAUACUAAUAGGUCGAGGACUUGACCAA